rnacentral:rRNA from 1 species
GACGAACGCUGGCGGCGUGCCUAAUACAUGCAAGUAGAACGCACAGUUUAUACCGUAGCUUGCUACACCAUAGACUGUGAGUUGCGAACGGGUGAGUAACGCGUAGGUAACCUGCCUGGUAGCGGGGGAUAACUAUUGGAAACGAUAGCUAAUACCGCAUAAUAUUAAUUAUUGCAUGAUAAUUGAUUGAAAGAUGCAACUGCAUCACUACCAGAUGGACCUGCGUUGUAUUAGCUAGUAGGUGAGGUAACGGCUCACCUAGGCGACGAUACAUAGCCGACCUGAGAGGGUGGUCGGCCACACUGGGACUGAGACACGGCCCAGACUCCUACGGGAGGCAGCAGUAGGGAAUCUUCGGCAAUAGACGCAAGUCUGACCGAGCAACGCCGCGUGAGUGAAGAAGGUUGUCGGAUCGUAAAGCUCUGUUGUAAGAGAAGAACGGGUGUGAGAGUGGAAAGUUCACACUGUGACGGUAUCUUACCAGAAAGGGACGGCUAACUACGUG